CCUACGGGUGGCAGCAGUGGGGAAUAUUGCACAAUGGGGGAAACCCUGAUGCAGCGACGCCGCGUGAGUGAAGAAGUAUUUCGGUAUGUAAAGCUCUAUCAGCAGGGAAGAAAAUGACGGUAACUGAUUAAGAAGCCCCGACUAACUACGUGCCAGCAGCCGCGGUAAUACGUAGGGGGCAAGCUUUAUCCGGAUUUACUGGGUGGAAAGGGAGCGUAGAAGGCAGCACAAGGCUGGAGUGAAAGGCCGGGGCUUAACCCCGGAACUGCUUUGGAGAAUGUGCAGUUAGAGUGCAGGCGAGGUAAGUGGAAGUCCUAGUGUAGCGGUGAAAUGCGUAGAUAUUAGGAGGAACACCAGUGGCGAAGGCGGCUUACUGGACUGUAACUGACGUUGAGGCUCGAAAGCGUGGGGAGCAAACAGGAUUAGAUACCCGAGUAGUC
rnacentral:rRNA from 1 species